rnacentral:rRNA from 1 species
UACGGGGGGGGCAAGCGUUGUUCGGAAUUACUGGGCGUAAAGCGCACGUAGGUGGUUUUCUAAGUCAGCUGUGAAAUCCCCGGGCUCAACCUGGGACUUGCAGUUGAAACUGGGAAGCUAGAGUAGGGUAGGAGGGGGUGUGGAAUUCCAGGUGGUAGCGGUGAAAUGCGUAGAUAUCUGGAGGAACACCGGUGGCGAAGGCGGCAUCCUGGACCGACACUGACGCUGAGGAGCGAAAGCCAGGGGAGCCAAAGCGGGAUUAAGAUGACCCGGGUAG